ACAGAGAGAAAUGAAAACCAAAAACAUUUCUUGGCUAGAUUGAAGAGAUUCUAAGGAGAUCCAAGUGAAAUCAAAGCCAAAGAAGUGGAUUAAGCUUAGUUUUGACCUUUUUAUAAUAAUUUCUUAUACUUGGAAGUUAAAUCACGUUUUUGAAUUUUGCUGAGAGAUUAUAUAUGGUAUUUUAUCUUGUUUAAGAUAUUUCUUGGUGGGUUCCAAGCGGUUUGAGGUUUAGAAAACCUGUAAGAGAUUGUUUCUGCCGAAAAGCUGCUCGUGUGUGGCUGCCUUAAAUCUUGAGCUCGACGAGGAAAUGAUGGAAUAUGAUUUUUGAUGCGCCUUACUGUGGUGAUGGCUAGUCGGAGGAGAACCCAUGAGAUUUUAUAUUAUAUGUGUAACAAGCCCUGCAGGCCUUGGCCUAAUCAAACAAUGUGCACAAUAUUAAGGGGCCCAAAAUUUAAAAAGAAGUUGUGUAUGCACAUUGACAUAGGGUAAUCAUUAGCAUUGCAUGCAUUACUUUGCUUAUUGAGCUUCAGGCUCACAAUUGUCUCGUGUUGUAGUUAAAGAAAGAAAUGAAUAAAUGGCAAAGGAGAACUGGAGCAUGGUCAUGACCCUGAUUUGUACA